GCAUGUGGGCUCUUAAUCCAGUUAGCCCCAGGGAAAGAGGCUCUCUCUUUACAGCUAGGAGCACUCCAAGGUCUAGAUGUAGAUGUGUGGUGAGGCUCUGAGUCACUGGUCAUCCCAAGUCACAGCAAAAGGCCCAGGAGCACUUUUAUUAGUCUGACACUACAAUUACUUUAAUCAACAGAUUCCAAUUCUUAGGAAACGUGAGGGUUUCCUAUCAAUAGCAGAUGUUGCCAGCACUGCCUCAGGUGGCUAGAAACAAAGGAGCGGAAGGAGAGAUGCUGUCAGAGCCUGACCUUUUGUUUUUGUUUCAGUUAAACAGAGGUGGACCCUUUGACCUGACCAAUAAAGGUUGCUGGGUUGUUGUCCUGAUCACAAACAUAGGAAAACAGGACAUGUACUUUAAAAGUCUUUCCUGCCGGGGUAAGGGUGUUGCUCAGUGUCCAAGGCCCCAUCCCCAGCACCACAAAAUAACAAAACAAAAAAAAUAACCUUUCCUGCUUAUGUUCUCUCCAUCUGUUCACUGAUUUUGUUUAUUCAACAUCAGUAUUGACUCAGUGCCAGCUGCUUUUCCAGGCUCUGGGAACAGCACUGAAUAAAACAAAAAACCUGUAUUUAUUGGUUUUGAGUCUGUAUUGGGGGUGGGGUCAGCAAGUAAGCAUUUUGUGGACAUGUGAAAAACACUCUCACUGCUCCCUGAAGAAAGCUCAGAAACGGACCAAGGACUUUGCUGACGGGGAAGUCUCAACAGAUGUGAAAUAAAACUGGCUUAUGCAUAUCUCAGGGGAUUAACUUUAGCUGGCCUAUCACUGAAAGGCUGUUCUAAUUUAUAUUUUUCAGUUUUCUCUCAUAAAUUCAUCGUUUCUCUCCUAAAGAUUUUCACAGCAAUUGGAAAUUUCUAGUACAAGUUUGUUUUGUUUUCUUUUGAGAAGGGGUUUUUCUGUAGUGGGCCAGGCUGCCCUUGAACUCAGAUGCACCUACCCCUGCCUCCUAAGUGCUAGGAUUAAAGGUGGCACAACACCCCUGGCUGGAAAUUUCUUUUCUUUUCUUUUCUUUUGUUUUUUUGUUUUUUUGUUUUUUUUUUUUUCUGAGACAAGCUUUCUCUGUGUAGUUCAGGCUGUUCUUGAAUUUACACUGUAGAUCAGGCUGGCCUCAAACUUGGAGAUUUGCCUCUGAGCUGGGACUAAAGGCCUACACCACCACUGCCCAUCGGAAGAUCAUUGAUAGCACCUCCACUUGAUACAUUCAGCAUGUCUACUUCCGAGUUCUGUUUUGCAUGACAUCUGAUAAAUGAAGAAAGGUCCUUACAUUGUUCAUCAAACUGUUAAUAGUUCAAAGAAGUGAAUUCCAGGACAGUCAAGGCUAUGUAGAGACCCUCUCCCCUUACCAUCACCCUACAAAUCACCCCAUGUUAAUAGUUUCAUUACAAGUCAGAUCUCUCAUGACUUCUCCCUGUUUAGUCAUUAAGUUUUUCUCUUUUGCUCUUUGGUGAUUUGGCUAUACUCUAUUGCCCUAAGAUACUCCAUUGUGUUCUAUGUACAAUUUCCCUGACACCAGCGUCAUCUGUAGCAUUUAUUAACUGUAUUUUGUCCCAGCUAUGCUUGAAUGAACACUCAGGAACUUUUUUCUUCCUUUAAUCUUUGUUUUAGAUAAUUUAUUUUUAUGUUCAUUGGUGUUUUACCUGCAUGUAUGUAUGUCUGUGUGAGGGUGUCAGAUCUUGGAGUUCCAGACAGUUGUGAGUUGACAUGUGGGUGCUGAGAACUGAACCCAGGUCCCCUGGAAGAAUAGUCAGUGCUCUUAACCUCUGAUCCAUUGCUCUAGCCCAACGCUCAGGAUUUUAUAUCAGUAUCCUCCAUGUCCUUUCUCCAUGAUAACGUGAUAGUCUAAUUUUAUAUCAACCUUUUGAUUCUGUUUGCCUUUUAGAAACAACCCCUGGCCUGCCCUCCUGUGUUCUGAUUCCCUGGCCACGCUGAGCUACCUGAGCCUGUGACUACCUUUCUCUGAUCCACUGAGUUGCUUAGUGUGAUAUCUUCCGUUGCAUGUUUGCUUAGCGUGAUGUCUUCCAUUGCAUGUUUGCUUUUCCCUAAGAAUGAAUUUUUUUAAAAAUUUACUUUGUAUAUGCGUGUAUAUUAUAAAUGUGUUUAAAUACAAGCACAUGUGCCUCAGUUCAUAUAAGGGGAUAAGGUUUGGAAGGAAACACUUUUUUGUAUAUGAUUUUUAAAAACCACCCCUCCCUUCCUCUCUUCCUCCUUCCCUUCCUUCCUUCCUUUCUUUGGAAACAAAGUCAUUCUACAUAGCCCUGGCUGUCUUAGAACUUCUUACAUAGACCUGGCUGGGCUCAAACACACAGAGGUUCUUCUGCCUCUAAUGCAUCUUUUAAACUGUCUCUUACCAUGAAUUUCUCAAAGUGAUUUUUUUUUUUUUUUUUUUUUUUUUUUUUGGUUUUUCGAGACAGGGUUUCUCUGUAUAGCCCUGGCUGUCCUGGAGCUCACUUUGUAGACCAGGCUGGCCUCGAACUCAGAAAUCCGCCUGCCUCUGCCUCCCGAGUGCUGGGAUUAAAGGCGUGCGCCACCACGCCCGGCUCAAAGUGAUUUUUAACUACAAUUUUUUUCUAAACAAUAUGAGAAGUGAAUGAGUUAAUAUAUGAGGUGAAAAUGCAUGUUAAUUAGGGCUCAGUACCUAUUGUAGAUAUGUCCAGAAUGUUGCCUGUGAAAUAUUUUCAUCUGUAGACUGGCAUAAAAAUUUAUACUUACAUAAAUUUAUGGUUAUAUAGUCAUAUGCUUUUCUUUUUUGGGGUUUUUUGGUUUUGUUUGGUUUGGUUUGGUUUGGUUUUUUGUUUUUUGUUUUUUUGUUUUUUUUUUUUUUUUUGAGACAGGGUUUCUCUGUAUAGUCUUGGCUGUCCUGGAACUCACUCUGUAGACCAGGCUGGCCUCAAACUUAGAAAUCUGCCUGCCUCUGCCUCCCAAGUGCUGGGAUUAAAGGCGUGCACAACCACUGCCCUGCAUGCUUUUCUUUAUAUGAAUGCACAUUUAGAUACUUUUGGAAAGUAGGAAGGUAUGCUUUGUUGUCUCAAAAGAGUUAAAAAUCAUUCCGAUUCACUAUGAACUCAGUAAAAUAAACAGUCUGGGAUCAGAAGUGGUAAAAGCUAAGGAAAAUGUACAAUUUAAAGGAGAGUAUUGGAUUCUGUUUCCCUGCUUUGUAAUAUAGAAAGGGCUUCUCAGGCCCUAGAGAGAUAGCUUAGUAGUUAAGAACAUGUAUUGUUCUUAUAGAAGACCCAAGUUCAAUUCCCAGAAUUCAUAUCAGACAGCUCAAACUGCUUAUAACUCUGCCUCCAGAGGAUGCCUCUGACCUCAGGCCCAGAUACAUGCAUAUAUGCACAUAAGUAAAUAAUAGUAUUUUUUUUUU
rnacentral:lncRNA from 1 species